CAGUAGACUGUGAUCUUCUUUCCAUUUUUUUCCCCCUAGACUCAUCUCCUAACCUAAUUAACCAAUCAGAUGGCCUAAAUCCGGCGCUGGCACUUUGGCAGUCGAACCCUGCAGCUGCAGGCACCGCGGCUGGGCACAGCAUGACCCCUGUAGGUCAGAGAUCGCGCCCUACAUCUGACUCGGCUCCACUGCCAAGCCCGCUGCUACUGCCUCUCAGUGACCUCCAGCUGCACCUGCAGAUCCUCUCCACCUCCACCCAUGUGUGUGCCUGAGGGCUUUGUCUCUGCUCCUCUCUAAGCAUUUCCAGGCCAGCACUCCUCCU
rnacentral:lncRNA from 1 species